AAUUUUACAGAUUCUGUUAUCAGUCUACAAUAUUCGGUAUCUUUGGACUUUGGACAGCAUAUCACCUAACCAUGUCUCUGGAAACAACAACACCUCUCAAUCUGAAAUCCGGGUUUUCCUUCAACCGCCGGUUCACUGCGUCCAUGCACCCUUUUCCUCUGUUUAACCACCGCCGUUAUCCAGCUCCUAUACAACUGUCAUUUCCUUUUCGCGCCAAAACUGUUAACAGUCAAGAACUAAAAUUUCCGCGGUUUUGGAGACGGCAAGUGUGGCGACGGAGAACCAAUCCGAGUCACCGGUGAGAAUUUUGGCCCUCGUGGUGGAAGGAAGCGUCAGCCCUCUAAAAUGCGCCACUUGGCUGGAGGUCAUGCUCCAUACUUUAGCAGAGGGCAAUUGUUGAAGAUGAGCUCUCCUUCUUUUAUCUUUAUAUGGAAAUUGUUGGAAUAUGGAAAUUGUGCAGUUGUUUGGCGGUUUUUAUUAUUAAUUGUUCAUCUGUUGAUAAUACAGAUGAAUAGAAUGUUUUCUUGAUUUGAUUUAGAGAAAAUGCUUGAUAGUUUUUGAGAGACUAUAUACAAUUUUUUUUGGGAAAAUUAUAAUCGUACCCAAUGUUUUUGUCGAAAUUAACUACUCUAACUUUGUAUUUUUUUUUAAAUACACUACUCUAUCCUCGGUUUUAGUCCGUUAUACUAAGUAUUCCUUCCGUCCAUUUUUCGCACUUUUAAAAAAUAAGUCAAAGAAAAGCCUAACAGUCUACAGAGAGAGAAAAAUUUUUUUCACCAAAAUACUGUCUUCUUCUUCCUCUCUUUCUCUUCCAGCAAACAAGUCCAAAACUUUCUCUCUCUAAUUUAUCUCUCUAAAACAAGAAAAGAAUAAGAAGAAGAAGAGAUGAUGGUAUUUGGUUGUAAGAUUGGAGAAUAUAUAUUAAUAUCAUCAAUUUGUUGUGGUUUUGUUAGAUGAUAUAUUUUUCUUAGCAAAUUUUAGUUUUAUGGAAGAUUGGUGAAGUUUGGGUUUAAAAGUUUUGAGGUUUGAGAAUUUCUUGAUAUCAGUUUUGAAUGGUAAUUAAAAAGGAAAAUAAAUGAAAAAAUUGAGUUUCCCAUAAAAUUCUAAUCACUUUAGUGAUUAGGUUAAAAGAUUUUCAGAUAACCUAAUUUGCCGGCCGCCGUAAGCAGCGGCACUAACGACUUUCCGACAAGACAUAAAUUUGAUUUUAAAAGAAAAAUGAUUUUAUCUUUUAAUUAUGGUCAUUAAAGUUAUUUCAUAACAAUUUAACGUCUGAAAGUGUAUAAAAUGAACAGAAGGGGACACUCUUUAACAAACUGAAAACACGAGGGCAUUGUAGUCUAUUUAAAAAAUAUAAGUGUAAAGUAGUUGAUUUGGAUAAAAUAUAAGGGUACAAUUAUAAGUUUCCCUUUAUUUCCUUUUUUUUUUCCAGUAGAGAUGAAACAGGAGUGUUUAUUCAGAAAUAUGAUUUUAUUUCUUUUUAUUGUUUUU